rnacentral:lncRNA from 1 species
AAUGGGAGGAAUUGGACUGAAAUUAAGGAAUUAAUUUGAGGCAUCACCAUGGACACCAAAGGCUGCAGUGUUUUAUUUAUGAUUACAAUUAUAAGAACAAUAAAACUGCAACAGGAAGCAGGGACCAUGGGUUUGUCAGUUGUCUAUGUGGUUCUGCAGUUGUCAUCAGCUCUUCUGCUCUCUAUGGGCCAUGAACCUUAUCAGCAGCUUCAGCAAGUACAGAUUAAUUCAGAGAUCUGAGAAACAAGGUUUGGAGCUAGCAAUUGUUGACAAAGGUGCAUCUCCCUGGUUGUGUUCAUCACAGAGAAGUCUGAAAGUAGAAUUAUGAUAUUGUUUUUGAAUCACUUCCAAGUAGGUUGUCUUCUUGGCCCACAGAAAGACUAGGCCUUGAGGGAAGGCUGCAACCUCCUCUGACUACAAAAAGAGAGGAAGGUGAAUUCUAUUAUCUUGGAGGCCCUGGGGAUAAAGCAUCUUCAGAAGGAUUUGAGAAUAAAGAAAACUGCAUGUUUAAAGGCUUGAGUGUUGAUUAAAAAGUUUUGGUUUUUUUUUUUUUAUAGAAAAAAAUAAAGCCAUGGCUCUUUUGCAUUCGUCAUAUGCAUUAAUUGUGCUGCUAUCUCUGGCUUGCAGAAGAGAAUGUUAGAAAGAAUGCAGUGACCAUUUUGACAUGUUGAAAAUGCUUAUAAUUAAUAUGGAUUAGGAAACAAAAGUGAAGUCACCAAGCAAUGAGUUAUGUCCACCAAAAGAUUUCUUCAUGGGAUGAAAUGUAUCUUUUAUUCGUGUUCAAAGAACUGUUGAAUAAUAAUUACUAGUGCUGUUUUUGAGUUUUAAUGGGACUCAUCCUCCUUCCUGAGAUAUGUCUCCAUCCUUUUAUUGCUUGUGUUUGCUAGUUUCCAUUUGUAAAAGAAAGGAGUCAUUUACAUAGUCAGCCAUUUUUCAUCUUGCGACCAUAAUACAUGCUGAUAGUGCAUUGCCCUGUGAGGUCUAAACCUUUUACUCUCUGCCAAGAUACUUGCAUGCUUCCCCCGAAUCUUGCCUUCCUAAGUGUUGGUUCACUCACUUUGAGUGUGAGAUCCCUGUUGCCCUUCACACUCCAGCUCCUGCACUUUUUCUUCUGAAGAGCCUAUACCAGGUUUCCCAGCUGGCUCAUGGUUUCUGAUAUAUGCUUUCAAACAUCACACAGAUUUGACUAAGAGUAAUUACUUGAUUAAUGUCCGUCUUCCUACACAGAGUCCAUUAUUUUUUCAUCAGUAUAGUCCAGCACUUAACAGAGUGCUUGCUUGGCUUAUCAUGGGCAAUAAUAGCUGUCAAAUUAUUUUGAGUAGGGAAUGGUAUGAUUGGAUAUGUUUUAGUAAAAUAGCCCUUGUAGUAGGUUUGGAGGUCACACUAGAGAGCAAAUCGAUUUGUAAUGGGAAGUUCUUUGGGGGAACUGUUGUACCUGUUCAGGAAGAAAAGGGGUUGGCAAUUUUUUUUUUGUCCCAGUACUCACUGGCCAAAUAUCUAUUGAGUGUUUACAAUGCUAAUGCCAGUUUGCAUGCUGCAUUCUGAGACAACAAAGGAACUAACGCUAAUGAGAAACUGGGAAGGAAAUGAAUGGUGAGUUCAGUGGGAUCCAAUGACUAGUUGUAGAUGGAGGAGAAGGAAUUUAUGAGGAAUGUAAGGUCAAGGUCAGCAAAUGCAUGGCAGUUGGCUCUGCUAACACGGUUUGAGUUGUUGGAGACACUUGUUCAACUUCCAAGAGAAUCAAAUGCUUCUUCAGCUUUAGGUCAUUUUUCAGUGAAGGACUUCUGGUGAGUUCUUAAUGUUGGCCUGUAGAGAC